rnacentral:SRP_RNA from 1 species
UACCUGUAAUGGGUCUUCACCAGAAGGUGCACCGUCAUCCCGCUCCACCUCCCUGUCACCACCUUUGCAGGAGCCCAGUUCGAGUCCUGUGGUGUCCUUUUAUCCACUCACGUAGGUAACUCGUGAUGCUGGAGGGACCUAAGCAAUGAAUGCAAUUCGAUGAGGGAAGAAAUUCUGCAAUCGGGCAUUCACCAUGGGACGGCGGCGCUGGAUUACUCCCACGAGGGUUGGGGGGCGGAGAGGGGCUGGUCGUAUCGACUGGUAUU